UACGUAGGGCGCAAGCGUUGUCCGGAAUUAUUGGGCGUAAAGCGCACGUAGGCGGAUUGUUAAGUCGGGGGUGAAAUCCUGGAGCUCAACUCCAGAACUGCCUUCGAUACUGGCGAUCUUGAGUCCGGGAGAGGUGAGUGGAACUCCGAGUGUAGAGGUGAAAUUCGUAGAUAUUCGGAAGAACACCAGUGGCGAAGGCGGCUCACUGGCCCGGUACUGACGCUGAGGUGCGAAGGUCAGGGGAGCAAACGGG
rnacentral:rRNA from 1 species